rnacentral:rRNA from 1 species
ACAUGCCUACAACAUAGCGUUAAUGCACUGGAUCCCAUUAGAACUCCGUAGUUAAGGGUGCUUGGGCUAGAGUAGCACUGGGACGGGUGACUGCCUGAGAAGUCCUAGUAUUUUACAUGCC